rnacentral:tRNA from 1 species
GCGCGGGUGGCGGAAUUGGUAGACGCGCAAGGUUGAGGGCCUUGUGGCAGAGAUGCUGUGGGGGUUCGAGUCCCCCCCCGCGCA